UACGUAGGGUGCGAGCGUUGUCCGGAAUUAUUGGGCGUAAAGAGCUCGUAGGCGGUUUGUCGCGUCGGCCGUGAAAACUUGGGGGCUUAACCCCAACCUGCGGUCGAUACGGGCAGACUUGAGUUCGGCAGGGGAGACUGGAAUUCCUGGUGUAGCGGUGAAAUGCGCAGAUAUCAGGAGGAACACCGGUGGCGAAGGCGGCUUCCUGGACCGACACUGACGCUGAGGCGCGAAAGCUAGGGGAGCAAACGGG
rnacentral:rRNA from 1 species